rnacentral:tRNA from 1 species
AUUAAGAUGGCAGAUCAGUGCAAAGAAUUUAAGAUUCUUUUAGAGAAAAAUAAUAAAUAAGGUUUUCUUCUUAAUA